rnacentral:rRNA from 1 species
GAUGAGCGCUGGCGGCGUGCCUAAUACAUGCAAGUCGAGCGAACGGACGAGAAGCUUGCUUCUCUGAUGUUAGCGGCGGACGGGUGAGUAACACGUGGAUAACCUACCUAUAAGACUGGGAUAACUUCGGGAAACCGGAGCUAAUACCGGAUAAUAUUUUGAACCGCAUGGUUCAAAAGUGAAAGACGGUCUUGCUGUCACUUAUAGAUGGAUCCGCGCUGCAUUAGCUAGUUGGUAAGGUAACGGCUUACCAAGGCAACGAUGCAUAGCCGACCUGAGAGGGUGAUCGGCCACACUGGAACUGAGACACGGUCCAGACUCCUACGGGAGGCAGCAGUAGGGAAUCUUCCGCAAUGGGCGAAAGCCUGACGGAGCAACGCCGCGUGAGUGAUGAAGGUCUACGGAUCGUAAAACUCUGUUAUUAGGGAAGAACAUAUGUGUAAGUAACUGUGCACAUCUUGACGGUACCUAAUCAGAAAGCCACGGCUAACUACGUG